CCCGUAGAGUCUCGCGAUGCAUCUAGAUUAGAGUUUGAUCCUGGCUCAGAUUGAACGCUGGCGGCAGGCCUAACACAUGCAAGUCGGACGGUAGCACAGAGGAGCUUGCUCCUUGGGUGACGAGUGGCGGACGGGUGAGUAAUGUCUGGGGAUCUGCCCGAUAGAGGGGGAUAACCACUGGAAACGGUGGCUAAUACCGCAUAACGUCGCAAGACCAAAGAGGGGGACCUUCGGGCCUCUCACUAUCGGAUGAACCCAGAUGGGAUUAGCUAGUAGGCGGGGUAAUGGCCCACCUAGGCGACGAUCCCUAGCUGGUCUGAGAGGAUGACCAGCCACACUGGAACUGAGACACGGUCCAGACUCCUACGGGAGGCAGCAGUGGGGAAUAUUGCACAAUGGGCGCAAGCCUGAUGCAGCCAUGCCGCGUGUAUGAAGAAGGCCUUCGGGUUGUAAAGUACUUUCAGCGGGGAGGAAGGCGAUGCGGUUAAUAACCGCGUCGAUUGACGUUACCCGCAGAAGAAGCACCGGCUAACUCCGUGCCAGCAGCCGCGGUAAUACGGAGGGUGCAAGCGUUAAUCGGAAUUACUGGGCGUAAAGCGCACGCAGGCGGUCUGUUAAGUCAGAUGUGAAAUCCCCGGGCUUAACCUGGGAACUGCAUUUGAAACUGGCAGGCUUGAGUCUUGUAGAGGGGGGUAGAAUUCCAGGUGUAGCGGUGAAAUGCGUAUGAUCUGGAGGAAUACCGGGUGGCGAAGGCGGCCC
rnacentral:rRNA from 1 species